rnacentral:rRNA from 1 species
AGUGAACGCUGGCGGUAGGCCUAACACAUGCAAGUCGAACGGCAGCACAGUAAGAGCUUGCUCUUACGGGUGGCGAGUGGCGGACGGGUGAGGAAUACAUCGGAAUCUACUUUUUCGUGGGGGAUAACGUAGGGAAACUUACGCUAAUACCGCAUACGACCUACGGGUGAAAGCAGGGGAUCUUCGGACCUUGCGCGAUUGAAUGAGCCGAUGUCGGAUUAGCUAGUUGGCGGGGUAAAGGCGCACCAAGGCGACGAUCCGUAGCUGGUCUGAGAGGAUGAUCAGCCACACUGGAACUGAGACACGGUCCAGACUCCUACGGGAGGCAGCAGUGGGGAAUAUUGCGCAAUGGGCGAAAGCCUGAUCCAGCCAUACCGCGUGAGUGAAGAAGGCCUUCGGGUUGUAAAGCCCUUUUGUUGGGAAAGAAAAGCAGCAGGUUAAUCCCCCGCUGUUCUGACGGUACCCAAAGAAUAAGCACCGGCUAACUUCGUG